rnacentral:rRNA from 1 species
AUUGAACGCUGGCGGCAUGCCUUACACAUGCAAGUCGAACGGCAGCAUAGGAGCUUGCUCCUGAUGGCGAGUGGCGAACGGGUGAGUAAUAUAUCGGAACGUGCCCUAGAGUGGGGGAUAACUAGUCGAAAGACUAGCUAAUACCGCAUAAGAUCUACGGAAGACAGUGGGGGAUCGCAAGACCUCAUGCUCCUGGAGCGGCCGAUAUCUGAUUGGCUAGUUGGUGGGGUAAAAGCCUGCCAAGGCGACUAUCAGUAGCUGGUCUGAGAGGACGACCAGCCACACUGGGACUGAGACACGGCCCAGACUCCUACGGGAGGCAGCAGUGGGGAAUUUUGGACAAUGGGGGCAACCCUGAUCCAGCAAUGCCGCGUGAGUGAAGAAAGCCUUCGGGUUGUAAAGCUCUUUUGUCAGGGAAGAAACGGUAGUAGCUAAUAUCUAUUACUAAUGACGGUACCUGAAGAAUAAGCACCGGCUAACUACGUGCCAGCAGCCGCCGUAAUAC